CUUAAAUUGAAGAGUUUGAUCAUGGCUCAGAUUGAACGCUGGCGGCAGGCCUAACACAUGCAAGUCGAGCGGAAACGACACUAACAAUCCUUCGGGUGCGUUAAUGGGCGUCGAGCGGCGGACGGGUGAGUAAUGCCUAGGAAAUUGCCUUGAUGUGGGGGAUAACCAUUGGAA
rnacentral:rRNA from 1 species